rnacentral:rRNA from 1 species
GACGAACGCUGGCGGCGUGCCUAAUACAUGCAAGUUGAGCGCUGAAGGUUGGUACUUGUACCGACUGGAUGAGCAGCGAACGGGUGAGUAACGCGUGGGGAAUCUGCCUUUGAGCGGGGGACAACAUUUGGAAACGAAUGCUAAUACCGCAUAAAAACUUUAAACACAAGUUUUAAGUUUGAAAGAUGCAAUUGCAUCACUCAAAGAUGAUCCCGCGUUGUAUUAGCUAGUUGGUGAGGUAAAGGCUCACCAAGGCGAUGAUACAUAGCCGACCUGAGAGGGUGAUCGGACACAUUGGGACUGAGACACGGCCCAAACUCCUACGGGAGGCAGCAGUAGGGAAUCUUCGGCGAUGGACGAAAGUCUGACCGAGCAACGCCGCGUGAGUGAAGAAGGUUUUCGGAUCGUAAAACUCUGUUGGUAGAGAAGAACGUUGGUGAGAGUGGAAAGCUCAUCAAGUGACGGUAACUACCCAGAAAGGGACGGCUAACUACGUG